UUUGAUUGUAUCCAUGUUUUGAUCGUUAUUUUUGAGUUCUGCUUCAAAAUCGUUUAUUUUAAAGUAUUAUCGAUCUUGGAUAAACUGUUAAACGAAUCCCUAAUAUUUGUCCUUCUAUCUCACUGGAUUCGUUCUUAAAAAUGUUUUUCAUCAUCCUCAGUCCUUAAUGGUGAUACUUGAUGAAUAUCUUUGGCCUGUAGUGCAAAGAUGAAUGAUUAAACUGAUGAAUCUCUUUGGC
rnacentral:lncRNA from 1 species